rnacentral:rRNA from 1 species
GUGGGGAAUCUUGCGCAAUGGGCGAAAGCCUGACGCAGCCAUGCCGCGUGAAUGAUGAAGGUCUUAGGAUUGUAAAAUUCUUUCACCGGGGACGAUAAUGACGGUACCCGGAGAAGAAGCUCCGGCUAACUUCGUGCCAGCAGCCGCGGUAAUACGAAGGGGGCUAUCGUUGCUCGGAAUUACUGGGCGUAAAGGGCGCGUUGGCGGACAGCUUUGUCAGAGGUGAAAGCCCAGGGCUCAACCUUGGAAUUGCCAUUGGUACUGGCUGGCUUGAGUUUGGGAGAGGAUAGUGGAACUCCGAGUGUAGAGGUGAAAUUCGUAGAUAUUCGGAAGAACACCAGUGGCGAAGGCGACUCACUGGCCCAAUACUGACGCUGAGGCGCGAAAGCGUGGGGAGCAAACAGGAUUAGAUACCCCUGUAGUCC